rnacentral:rRNA from 1 species
AUUGAACGCUGGCGGCAGGCCUAACACAUGCAAGUCGAACGCGUGGCGGACGGGUGAGUAAUGUCUGGGAAACUGCCUGAUGGAGGGGGAUAACUACUGGAAACGGUAGCUAAUACCGCAUACCAGCAGCUGUGCCCAGAGGGGAUUAGCUAGUUGUGGGGGUAACGGCGCACCAAGGCGACGAUCCCUAGCUGGUCUGAGAGGAUGACCAGCCACACUGGAACUGAGACACGGUCCAGACUCCUACGGGAGGCAGCAGUGGGGAAUAUUGCACAAUGGGCGCAAGCCUGAUGCAGCCAUGCCGCGUGUAUGAAGAAGGCCUUCGGGUUGUAAAGUACUGUCAGCGGGGAGGCGUUACCCGCAGAAGAAGCACCGGCUAACUCCGUGCCAGCCGCCGCGGUAAUAC